UACAGAGGGGGCAAGCGUUAUCCGGAAUUAUUGGGCGUAAAGGGCGCGUAGGCGGCCUGGCAAGUGGAAGGUGAAAUCCCUCGGCUUAACCGAGGAACUGCCUUCCAAACUGCUUGGCUUGAGUCCGGGAGAGGUGAGUGGAAUUCCCAGUGUAGCGGUGAAAUGCGUAGAUAUCGGGAGGAACACCUGUGGCGAAAGCGGCGCACUGGACCACAACUGACGCUGAGGCGCGAAAGCUAGGGGAGCAAACAGG
rnacentral:rRNA from 1 species